rnacentral:lncRNA from 1 species
UGUCUGGUCACAAGAGCUUUACCAUCUCCACUUUCCAUAGCCCAUGUCUUAUGUCUUCGGCUUCUGCAUGUGAGUUUUGCAAUGCUUCGUUUUCUCUCUUUCCUCUGCUUCACGGUAAGCCAUCAAUUCUACCUGAAAAUUUGCUGCUUGCUGUGAUUAUUGCAAUUCCAUUUUGUUGCUGCCAUAGCUGAUUCUAUAAUUGGAGUAACUGUGCAAAGUAGAUUCUUUAAAGGGAGAUUAUUGUUGUUGAUUAUUUUUUAGUGUGACCCAGAUGGUGUUUUGAGAAUUUUUGAAGAUUCAUUAAGGAUUUUGACUUUUUGAGAGAUUUGUAGGAUACCCAUUAAUCCAUUAUGGAUACUUUGCUCAAAACACCUAACAAGCUUGGAUUUUUGCAUCCACUUCAUGGUUAUUCAGAGAAAAUGAACAAUUCAGGGUCCUCUAGGUUGGAGUUUAGGUUUGGUUCCAAGAAAAAAAUGCAUUUCAAAUGGUGUCAAGUUUCACCAGGCUAAAGUCAUCAAGGUUAUUCAUGAGGAAUCGAAGUCCAUGUUGAUUUGCAAUGACGGCGUCACUAUUCAGGCUACUGUGGUUCUUGAUGCAACUGGCUUUUCAAGAUCUCUUGUUCAGUAUGAUAAGCCUUAUAAUCCAGGUUACCAAGUUGCCUAUGGGAUUUUAGCUGAGGUUGAGGAGCACCCGUUUGACGUGGAUAAAAUGCUUUUUAUGGACUGGAGAGACUCACAUCUGGACAAUAAUAUGGAGCUGAAGGAGAAGAAUAGCAGAAUACCCACUUUUUUAUAUGCAAUGCCCUUUUCAUCCACCAAGAUAUUUCUUGAAGAAACCUCUCUUGUUGCACGCCCUGGAUUGCGUAUGGAUGAUAUACAGGACAGAAUGGUUGCUAGGCUAAAACACUUGGGCAUUAAAGUGAAGAGCAUUGAAGAGGAUGAGCACUGUGUCAUUCCGAUGGGUGGCCCCUUACCGGUUCUCCCGCAAAGAGUUAUUGGAAUCGGUGGUACUGCCGGGAUGGUGCAUCCUUCAACUGGGUAUAUGGUAGCAAGGACCCUAGCUGCUGCUCCUAUUGUUGCUAAUGCUAUUGUUCAGUACCUUGGUUCUGAUAGAGGCAUCUCAGGAGAUGGAUUAUCUUCACUAGUGUGGAAAGAUUUAUGGCCCAUCGAAAGGAGGCGGCAGAGGGAGUUCUUCUGUUUCGGUAUGGACAUCUUACUCAAGCUUGAUUUACCCGGCACGAGGAGAUUUUUUGAUGCAUUUUUUGAUCUCGAACCUCAUUACUGGCAUGGAUUCCUAUCAUCAAGACUGUUUCUUCCAGAGCUGCUAGUUUUUGGUCUCUCUCUAUUUUCUUAUGCUUCUAAUACUUCUAGGAUAGAGAUUAUGGCGAAGGGAACUGUUCCUUUGGUAAAUAUGAUCAACAACUUGAUACAAGAUAAAGAAUAAGUUUUUUUUUCCUUCUAAUCUGCUCUGUAUGUUACUUGUGUUGUGAGCUUCCAGCUGUAGUGUUUUUUUUUUCCCCUACUGAUAUUAUAGAUUUUCAUUCAGUAUAUAUAUAUUGGUUUGAUUCCUAUUAUUCUUUGCUUACUUUUGGGAUUAUUUUCCAUAUACUUGGAUUGUAUAUUGCUUUAUGAGGAAAAAUAUCCGUUCGUCUUUGCUGGUUAAUUAUUAUCUUUUUAAAGAAUCUCACACUUCUGCUGCUGCAUUAGAGAAUGCUUGGUCUAAUUCUAUCAAGGGCUUGUCUCAGAAUUCAUGUUAGGCCUAACUCUACCCCAAAAGUUAGGUUAUCAAAGCUUAUCUAAGAUUUGUUUAUUGGGCCAUCCAUAAUUGAGCAAUCAGCAGAUGUCCACUCAUGCAAACUUAAAGUUUCAGACGUCCAGCUCUACACGUGAGGGGUGUCAAAGUCUCACAUUGACUGGAGAUAUAGCCAAAAUAGUUCUUAUAUGGGCAGCGCAAUCCUCACUCCUGAGGCAGCUUUUGAGGUUGAGUUAGCCUUAACCCGAAUUUUAAGCCAGUCAGUUUUAUCAACAUCUUAUUCCACUCUGUAUCUGCUAGUUCAUGGUUUUUCUUUCAAAUCAUUCAUUUUAUUUUGACCUCUAAGUUUGAGGUGCGAAUGAAUUCAACAACCUUUCACGGAGACAAAUUUUAUUUCUGAACUCAGGCACCAUGUCAGUUGUGAAUCAUGCAAUAACAUGUUUUAGAUGAUGCAGUGCCUGAGGUAUCUCAGUGCAUGAAUCUUUUCACCAGCUAGAGGCGAAUAGCAGGCUCUUGCAUUGCAGUCAACAAGGAAAGGAGGGUCCAAAGGAGUUGAAAUGGGUUAUUACACAACUAGAAAACUCAACACAACUGAAAGUGAAGUUACUUCUAAACUAAAUAAAUAAAUCCUGAAUUAUUGUGCUUUAUUCAUUCUUGAAUUUUAAAUAAUUAAGAUUACAAUGUAUUAAAAUAUUGAGUAACCGGACUUGAGUUCAAUGGCAAGGUCAGUGGUCAGGCAUUAAUGUUCAGGAAUGCUUUUCGUAAGAGAAGAAGUAAUCAUUUUUUUUUUAUCCAAAGAACUCUUAGAAUUUAAAAAGCUGACAGCAAACUAUUUUUACCUCAGGAUAAAAUUAUGAAAACGUGAAAAAAAAUUGAAGCAUACUACAGAUGAACUUUGUGUCUGCUGUUUCAUAUUAGUACCUAGAUAUUCUUGCUUUCAAUUGGAAGCAUUUAACUUAAAUAUCUGAUUUGAUUAAUUGAAUGUGGAACCUUUAUGACUUUCAGAUGUAUCAUGAUUGGCAUUUAAAUAAAAUAGAAGCCCAGACUGAUCAGAAAUCAAAUGCACUCAAACACGGAUGCAUUAGUGUGUGCAUGUUAAAGAUGAAUCCAAAGAAAAGGUACUUUUAUGCUUGCUGAGAAUAGUUAACACUGUUUGGAUUGUUGCAAGAAAGAAUCCAAAGAAAAGGUACUUUUAUGUUUGCUGAUAAUAGUUUUACUGUGUUUCGGUUAUUGCAAGAAACGUCAAAGAAGCUCCAAUCAUCCGUUGGCGAUACAUUCAACCCAACACCAAAUCAAACACAGCUUACUCCUUGCAUGAUUUUUGUCUCAUAAUUUGUAUCCUAACGAAUCAUCAGAAUUCAUUAUAACCCAUUAUAAUGGUUUUCCAAACAUACAUUUAGUGGUCAAGGGUUCUUUUAUUACUUCUCUUCUGUAAAAAAAACAUCAACCCUAGACAUGCUUGUUCUUGACUAUCAUAUGCUGUGCUAAUUGGCCAAACCCUUCAUACUAGUAGCAUUUUUUCUCUAAAAAAAUGAAAGACAGUUGCUAUAGCCAAACAUUCUAGCAGGAUUUAUCCAUCUCAAAGAAGAGCCCAAAUUCGCAUAAUAUUUAAAAAAAAAUAGAGUUCUACUGAAAUCAACACUUAAUAAAGUGGAAUCCUCAUCUGGAUCUAGGAAAGCUCUCGGCUACGCUUAGCAGCAGCAACAACAGCAUUCAUAAGUGUUGCACGGAACCCACCUUUUUCCAACUCAUGAACGCCAGCAAUUGUUGUCCCACCAGGAGAAGUAACAUCAUCCUUGAGCUGCCCUGGGUGCUUCCCAGUUUGGGUGACCAUUGAUGCUGCUCCUAGUACCUGGAAAACACAAAUCAAGAGAACAGUUAAAAGAACAAGUUUUUCCAAAUGUAUGUAAGGUAUCCAGAUUUUUCCCCCAACAACAUCAUGUCCACUGAGAAUCUCGCUGCCAUAUUCAAGCAGCAGCAAUUUUAUUAACCGUCUAACCUUAUUUAUGUUUUCGGUCUUCUUUGGAGUACUAGUAUAUGCUUAUCUUUUGCAGUCAAGUCUAAAAGAUACAUCUAUACAAUUUGGUUGCACUGUAGUAAUAACUAGCGUUUCUGCGAUCAGUUGGAUGAAGAUAAUAUAAACUAGAUGGUUUAGAUUGAUUUGACUGGUUACUUGCUCAAUCUGGCCAGUAUACACAGCAACAUAGCUGACACUUAGUGAAUCCCUUAAAUCAAAUUCCAGGUUCAUAGUAGGAAACCCUUAUCUAGUAUAGAUUGAGUUGUGUUUACCGGACUUAUAAACAGCACAGCUAAUAAUAUCAUUAGAAACAUUUAAUCCACAAAAGUAUGAAACUGAAACAUAUGAUUUUCUUAACAAAAUGGAUAACAUUGGAGUAUAAGACAAUGCAAGAAAAAGCAUCAGAUGAAUAGUAAACACUCAGAAAAAUAAAGGAUGAAAUACCCUUGUUAAAUAGUUAAAUGACAGUAUUUCACUUCACUUACAGUCUGAGAAGCUAGACUUAAUGCAAGAUCACGUGGUAAGCCAGCAGCUACUCCUCCAUCAGCCAAAGCCUCUACUGCUAAAUAAACAUAAGCAGGACCACUGCCACUGAACAAUUUAAGAGAAGUAGAAGAAAGUUUAGUAAAUAAAUCAAAGUUCUUUUCCAACUAGACAUGUAUGCAGAGAGUAUAUAUGCUUGUAUAAUUUCGGGGCUUUCAGGGAUGGUGCAGUAUAGCUAUUGUCAGAACUCAGAACUUAGAAGCUACCACAAGACAAUCUAAAAAGUAGGGGCAAGGUUCACGAAUCACUAGAACAGUUGAGGUUGAAUCAAUUUACAAUGGUAAUUGGGAUUGAAUGUAUAGGCAUUACAAAAAGAAGGAUAGUUGGACAGGUGCGGAGUUUAGAGUAGAGGCCAGAGUUUAGUACCCAUGUUCACACACAACUAAAACAGAAAAGGACAAUUAUCACCCAGCAGAAAAUUCAGAUUCUAGACAUAUUUUGUUCUCACAAAUGUAAAGAGCUUAGAAUUGUACGGGCAUAUUGUGACUUGAACCUUCUUAUCCUGUCCUUGUACUAGUAUCAUAUCUUAGUAUGUUACCUCUAAGAAACUUUCAGUUCAUCAAAGAUAAAAUGGAAUUUCUUGAGCAUUGCUUAGAUAAUAUCCAGAUAGAACUCUAUCGUUGUAGAAAAUGAUCUACAUACCUCAGGCCAGUUAUUGCAUCAAAAUACUUUUCAUCAGCUUUCCAUAUUUUCCCGAUUGAGCCAAAUAAUUUGUUUAUAAGAUUUCCAUCUUCUUCUGUAGCAGCUGCCCCCAAGCUCAUAACUGUGAUAGUUUAUCUUAAGUUAAUCUAUGCAUGCAACUUUAUAACUGUCAAAUAUGCAACUUGAUAAAGAAAUAGUUGCUGUAAGCAAUAACCAUUGUUUCCUAGAAAAGAAUACAAAAUACAGAAUUCCCAUAAUUAAUAGAAGGCAUGAAAGAAGCAAUAACUUGUAAUUUAUGAAAGAAGGCCCUCAUAUAGUUGAGAAUGUUAAACCCAUGCAAUUCAUGCAUCUAAGACCAAAUGAUCAAACUUUAAUAAAUGAUCAAACUCUAAGAAAAAAAAAGGAAGAAAGAAAUGCUGAGACUAAAUGAUCAAACUUUAAUAAAUAUACAUCUAAGAGACUACAUUUUGGGAGCUGUAAAACCCACUCUCCAUGAAAUUGAAGAACAAGGUGACUAACAAAAACUAUUUUAGUCAUUCUCAUUCAUGAGUAACAUCCAACAUCUUACAGUCAUAAUGAAUAUUCUGAAACCAAUAAGACUGCUAACUGUAACUAACGACUUAGAAUUAAGAAAGUCAAUUAUGGAACUGCCAAGUUAUACAAAACAAGUCACAUAGCACCCAUUCUAAACUCUCAACACAGAGAAAAAAACUUGAAGAACAGAACACAAUAUGCUCUAAGACAUAGUUAUAAAAAGGCAAUACCUGACGCUGCCUCGCCAACAGCAGCAGGUGUAUUAGGCAUCACCCUUAUAAAUCUGUUGUGACCAGCCCAUUCCUACAUUUACAGAAACAACCAUUUCCAUAAAAAUAUCCAACCUAAUUAAAUCUGCAAGGCUAAAGAAACGGAAAGUAACUAAAAACUACUUCCACAAACCAUGUAAUAUAUGGGAUUUAAAAUACUCUAAAGUGAGGGUUAUAUUUACAAUACAAAAUGCAAGUUGAUUCAAACCCAGUUCACAUUAACUUUUUACUAACAAACACUUGAAUGAAAACAAAAAAAUUGAAAUAAUCUUGUAAUCAAGAUAAAAUUUCUAAUAAUAGAUUCUGCUUGAGUUCAAAUCAGCUUGUGCACCUCCACUUUUUCAAGAUUUCCUUCAUCUAACUCCUCCACAACUAACUAUAAACUUAAAUAGACUUAGUGCAUGUUUGGACCACGGUGAGUUAAAAUCACAGUAGACAGAAGCAACUUCUCUUGACUUUUGUAACUGUAUACCGUGAUUUUGACUUUCCUCGUGUAUCCAAACAUGCACUUAUUUACCUGUUUAAAACCAAAUACUUAGCCAUAAGAAGCAAUUCAGAAUUUUCCUUCAGCUUCUUUUUUUAUUUGCCAAUAAUCAUAUUAACAAUAACAAUUAACAAGCCAUGUAAAAGUGCAGAUAUUCAGAAUAAGAAAACAGCUGUGUUGUGUAACCUGAAGAUCUUUCAACUUGACUCCAGCAGCAACAGAGACCAAAAGCUUGUUCUUCGUCAAGAGCGGCUUCAACUUCAACACCGCAUCUUUCACUGCAACAAACACAAACUCUUCAAUGAAAAACGAAUCUAGAGCAAGCCGAAAUCGACAUUGAGAUCGUGUGGCAAUACCUA